rnacentral:rRNA from 1 species
UGAAUACGAGACGCUACGGCGUCGAAGCAGUCUAUGUCAGACUUCCAAGAAAAGCUCGCAAUGUCAUAAACAAAUAAUGCCUGUACCAUAACCGACACAGGUGGGUAGGUAGAGUAUACUAAGGGGCGCGAGAUAACUCUCUCUAAGGAACUCGGCAAAAUGACUCCGUAACUUCGGGAGAAGGAGUGCCUUAUUUAUAAGGUUGCAAUAACAAGAUCCAAGCAACUGUUUAUCAAAAACACAGGUCUCCGCUAAGUCGUAAGACGAUGUAUGGGGGCUGACGCCUGCCCAGUGCCAGAAGGUUAAAGAAGUUGGUUAGCAUUCGCGAAGCUGAUAACUGAAGCCCUGGUGAACGGCGGCCGUAACUAUAACGGUCCUAAGGUAGCGAAAUUCCUUGUCGGGUAAGUUCCGACCCGCACGAAAGGCGUAAUGAUUUGGAUACUGUCUCGGAGAGGGGCUCGGUGAAAUAGACUUGUCUGUGAAGAUGCGGACUACCUGCACCUGGACAGAAAGACCCUAUGAAGCUUUACUGUAACUUGAAAUUGAAAUUGGACUUUAUUUGCGCAGCAUAGGUGGGAGGCGUUGAGAGUAUUCUUGCGGGAAUAUUGGAGCCAUCAGUGAGAUACCACUCUUGUAAUGUUAGAUUUCUAACUUUGUAUCAUUAUCUGGUCAAAGAACAGUUUCAGGCGGGCAGUUUGACUGGGGCGGUCGCCUCCCAAACGGUAACGGAGGCGUACAAAGGUUUCCUCUGAACGGGUAGAAAUCGUAUCUAGAGUGUAAAGGCAUAAGGAAGCUUGACUGUGAGACCUACAAGUCGAGCAGGGACGAAAGUCGGUCUUAGUGAUCUGACGGUGCUGAGUGGAAAGGCCGUCACUCAACGGAUAAAAGUUACUCUAGGAUAACAGGCUGAUCUCCCCCAAGAGUUCACAUCGACGGGGAGGUUUGGCACCUCGAUGUCGGCUCAUCGCAUCCUGGGGCGGUAGUACGUCCCAAGGGUUGGGCUGUUCGCCCAUGAAAGCGGUACGCGAGCUGGGUUCAGAACGUCGUGAGACAGUUCGGUCCAUAUCCGGUGUAGGCGUUAGAAUAUUGAGAGGAGCCUUCUUUAGUACGAGAGGACCGAGAAGGACAUACCUCUGGUGUACCAGUUAUCGUGCCAACGGUAAACGCUGGGUAGCUAUGUAUGGAGAGGAUAACCGCUGAAAGCAUCUAAGUGGGAAGCCCACCUCAAGAUAAG